CCUACGGGGGGCAGCAGUGGGGAAUAUUGCACAAUGGGCGCAAGCCUGAUGCAGCGACGCCGCGUGAGGGACGACGGCCUUCGGGUUGUAAACCUCUUUCAGCAGGGACGAAGCGCAAGUGACUGUACCUGCAGAAGAAGCACCGGCUAACUACGUGCCAGCAGCCGCGGUGAUACGUAGGGUGCAAGCGUUGUCCGGAUUUAUUGGGCGUAAAGAGCUCGUAGGCGGUUUGUCACGUCGGAUGUGAAAACCUAGGGCUUAACCAUGGGCCUGCAUUCGAUACGGGCAGACUAGAGUGUGGUAGGGGAGAUUGGAAUUCCUGGUGUAGCGGUGAAAUGCGCAGAUAUCAGGAGGAACACCGGUGGCGAAGGCGGAUCUCUGGGCCAAUACUGACGCUGAGGAGCGAAAGCGUGGGGAGCAAACAGGAUUAGAUACCCCGGUAGUC
rnacentral:rRNA from 1 species